rnacentral:rRNA from 1 species
AACGAACGCUGGCGGCAUGCCUAACACAUGCAAGUCGAACGAACCCUUCGGGUCUAGUGGCGCCCGGGUGCGUAACGCGUGGGAACCUGCCCUUAGGUUCGGAAUACCUCCCCGAAAGGGGUGCUAAUACGGGAUAAUGUCUUCGGCCCAAAGAUUUAUCGCCUUUGGUUGGGCCCGCGUUGGAUUAGCUAGUUGUUAGGGUAAAAGCCUACCAAGGCGACGAUCCAUAGCUGGUCUGAGAGGAUGAUCAGCCACACUGGGACUGAGACACGGCCCAGACUCCUACGGGAGGCAGCAGUGGGGAAUAGUGGACAAUGGGCGAAAGCCUGAUCCAGCAAUGCCGCGUGAGUGAUGAAGGCCUUAGGGUUGUAAAGCUCUUUUACCCGGGAUGAUAAUGACAGUACCGGGAGAAUAAGCUCCGGCUAACUCCGUG